AGAGCGAACGCUGGCGGCAGGCUUAACACAUGCAAGUCGAGCGGGCGUAGCAAUACGUCAGCGGCAGACGGGUGAGUAACGCGUGGGAACAUACCUUUUGGUUCGGAACAACACAGGGAAACUUGUGCUAAUACCGGAUAAGCCCUUACGGGGAAAGAUUUAUCGCCGAAAGAUUGGCCCGCGUCUGAUUAGCUAGUUGGUGAGGUAACGGCUCACCAAGGCGACGAUCAGUAGCUGGUCUGAGAGGAUGAUCAGCCUCACUGGGACUGAGACACGGCCCAGACUCCUACGGGAGGCAGCAGUGGGGAAUAUUGGACAAUGGGCGCAAGCCUGAUCCAGCCAUGCCGCGUGGAUGAUGAAGGCCCUAGGGUUGUAAAGUCCGUUUCGGCGGGGAAGAUAAUGACGGUACCCGCAGAAGAAGCCCCGGCUAACUUCGCGCCAGCAGCCGC
rnacentral:rRNA from 1 species